CCGUCACCCAGCUCCGGCCACUGCUCCCGACCAUACCUAGUCCUCUCUCCCGGCUUUGCUGAGGGAAGGGAGCCCGCAGCUGGCCUCCCUCCAUUCAGCUGGGGCUCAGCUGUCUGUGACCCUGGCCAAAGGGCACAUCUGGCUCCCUUGAGAGCCGGCCCAGGAAGACGUCAUGUAGAGAUGCAGCCUUCUUAGAAGCUCCUGCGAAUCGUUUCUCUGCUGGCCGUAAGCAAUGGCAGCCCCCACCCCCACCCCCGGAGCUGACACCCAACAUGAGGGGCUCAAGAAGGUAAGAUACUGUUCAUCAAGGGAUCAAUCUUCCGUCUCUGCUUAUCCAGGAGUAGCCAGCUGUGUCUCCAGCCCACCCACAGAACUGCUGAAAGACAUGAACCCAGCCCUUCUACAGAAACGCUGGCCAUCACACCUUGAUACAGCAGAGCCAGGAUCCCAUUCACACUAGCCUGAGCACCUCCCCUGUGUGUGUGCAUCUCCCUGAGUCAUGAGUGUGUGAGUCACAGAUCAUUGUUUUCAGCCCCAGUUUUGUGGGCAAAAGGUGUUUGACCAUUCUCAUAACUCUAGGAAG